UUAUGACUAGAAAGGGAACACAAAAAGCCACAGCACAUCACAGCAAGCAAUUUCAAAGCUGACGUCAAAGGCAAGGAGAGUUGUGCGGACGGGAGGGGAGGCGGGAGGGGGAGACGGGGAUUGACUGUGGUCACACUCCCAGGGCGCUCCGAAACACUGUCAAGGUGAAGUGCCUCACCGGCUGUGACAGCGGAAGGGUUUUUCUGUGUGUUUCGCAUUGGGAUGAUACCACCGCCGCUAUGAUAAGCUCUCAUUUGCAAGCUCUUGGAACGAGGCAGACAAAUGCCGCCGGUGGCGUUGGAAGUCGGCAGGCAGAUGUUCAUCCUGGAAGCAAUUUACGAGUCAGUAAUCUGGGUACCUCUGCAUCGCCGCGCUGAAAAGCAAUGGUGUAUUUCCAUGGCAACCGGCUAAUCCGCAGGUGGAAGGUGAUUGGACACCUUUCGCACCAGAACAAUAAUUUGAAAGGUCUUUUUCUCCCCCCGCCAUCCUCGCCGCCGCCGUCUUCUUCCUUUCCACUUCACUGUUCCAUAGCAUCAUGGAUUUCAUUGUACUGCAAUUCACGGCGAGAAUCAUUACGAGCCAUGAAGAUCGGGAGGGGGAGGAUAUAAGAAAAAAAAAAAUCCUGCCUCGGCUUUAUAUUUCAUAAGCAAGAAAAGGCUCUUCCUUGAGAAACCUGUGUGUGUGUUAAUGUUAUCAGGUUGUAUGAUGUGCUCUAAGACAAUUGCUCAAAGUGUCAAGGUGGGAAGGUAUUGAGAACACUCUAGACAAUGAAUAAAGGAUCAUGGUGUCUGUGGUCUAGUGAGUUCCUUGGAAUUAUUGGCUGAAAUUGAACAUGGAUGAGUAUCGUCUUAGAGAUCCAGGAUUUUGCUAUGGUUCCUGUGUCACCCCUUCCAGGAUUCAUCAUUUCACCUGAUAACCCCCGUCCAAUAAAAAAGCUUAUGUUCCUGC